rnacentral:snRNA from 1 species
AAACUUAAGGGGAAUUCCGUGAUCAUCAAGGCGGAUCCCCAUGGCGAGGCCUAUCCAUUGCACUUUUGGAUGGGCUGACCUGUGUGGCAGUCUCGAGUUGAGAUCGCCAACAGUUUAAUUUUUGCGUAACGGGCUGCGUGCGCGCGGCCCUGG